ACGGGACACCUGCAUCUGCCAACAAGACUGGAAGCAGGUGAGGCACACAGAGGGGGAGGCCCGCAGCUGCGUGGGAGGAGGGGUGGUCUGAGGGACGUGGGAUGCCGGGAAUGAGGCUGGUUUGCAGGUUGGCGCAUGGACAUUUUCCCAGAAAGGGACAGAGACGGCGAAGUUUGACGGUCUGGAAAGCAGAGACCAGCAGGGCUGACUGCUUGGGAGGAGGAGAAUGCUAUUUAUUUCAGCACCAAAUAUCCGGACAGCGCCUCUCGGGAGGUCCGAGAAGAGAACCGCGAUCUGUUUCAGCACCGGGGCUCAGGACAGUUCCCAGCGGGCUCCGUUUCGUCUCCAGAACCCUGGACAGCUCCUCCAGCUUGGAAUGCACUCCCUCCACCUCCAACCAGAGCUCCCCACAACUGACCCUGCCUUCUUCUGCAAGCUCCAUUUCAUCAAGGGAAACGAUCCUUAUUGCCUCACCAUUUCCCACGUGAAGUCUGUAUUGACAUUCUCAUAGACCUGGGAUAUUGUGUCUGCAGCACAUAGUCCAAUUAUUUUCAUGUUAUCUACUGACAGGUCUAUUUGUCUCCCUGUUACACUGUGAGCUCCGUGAGGGCAGAAACAAUGUUAGUAUUUUCACUGCUGUGUCCCCAGCGCCUGGUCCGGGGCCCGGCACACAGCAGGCAUAUAAUAAGCAUGUGUUGAAUCAAUAAAGGCAUCAAAGAAUAAACCAAUACAUCAAU
rnacentral:lncRNA from 1 species